rnacentral:other from 12 species
CUCGUCUGAGGGGACGCGAGGAUCGGCCUGGUCGCCGCCGCUUGGGCCAGCGCGUCGGCUCGGGCCUUGACAAGCCGCCCGAGGGGAGGCUCUCCGGAGCCUAGAGCUGGACCCUAGCGAUCGCCGCCCGCCCUUCCUGCCCGCGUUCUGCGAGGGGUUUCCCGCCUUGCACCUCCCACCUCGGGACGUGCCUCCGCUCCCCUCGUCGCGUGCGGAGGGAGCCAGCGCUUAGGCCGGAGCGAGCCUGGGGGGGCUACCGGCCGGGAAGGCUUCGCGGGGACCGAUUCGCCAUG